rnacentral:lncRNA from 1 species
CUUCAUUACCACACCUACAAUAUCGACCUUCAUCCACAGAUGCCAUGGAAGAAUUGGAGAAGCUCGACAUGAAAUUAUUAAGGGCCAAGAAUUAAAGAAAGGCUGAAGAAGAGAGAAAUUGGAAAAGAAUAGACAAAUUGGGGUCUUAGUUAUGGUACAAUUGGAGAAAAAAUAAUAUAAAUAGAUGAUAUGGAGUAAUAUUACCGUUGGGGACGCCACAUCAGACGAAAAUUUGAUGUUUACGCGCCUUGAAUGAGUGAAAAUCACGCGACACUCCACCUGUG